ensembl:lncRNA
AGAAUCCACAAUGGCCGUGCCUGUGUAGCCGUCGUUUCCGCAGCUGAAGAGGAGCCUUUCCCUAAACAGCCACCUCCACUUUACCUUGGUUUGAGUGCUUGCCGGUGCCAGGCUCCGGGUCCUGAGUGGCUCUUUGUUGCCUCAAAGACCAAACCCUGUCCAGUCAGACUUGCACAGCUCUCUGUCUUCAUUGGAACUGACUCAUUGGAAGAGACCCUGGUGCUGGGAAAUAUUGAAGGCAAGAGGAGAAGGGGAUGACAGAGGAUGAGAUGGUUGGAUGGCAUCACCAACUCGAUGGACAUGAGUUUGAGCAAGCUCCAGGAGUUGGUGAUGGACAGGGAGGCCUGGCAUGCUGCAGUCCACAGGGUCGCAAAGAGUCAGACACGACUGAGCAACUGAACUGAACUGUCUUAAUUUUCUCAUGCAGUCCUCAAAGCAGCUCUGGGCCGUGUCUCAUCACCCACUUCUACACGUGUCCAACUCUGCAAUUCAGGAUCAGCAAUUGCCCUGAAUCUCCCAGCUCCUGAGUAGUACUGAGAGGACUUGAACCCAGGAUUCUGAUAACAAUUCACUGGCUCUUUUUUUUUGUUUUUUCCACCAUUUAGCAUAUUCCUAGGGAGAUGCCAUUUUCUCAAAUGUUUGGGCAAUGGCAGCUUGGUUUAAGUGCGGAAUAAGUGUGUGGCCUCACAAUUAGGAGAUAAAGGAGACCACUGUGGAGAAGACCACUGUUUGAAAAAAAACAUAAAAAGGCUUUACUAUCGUGGUGAUAUGCUUACCACACCCGCUUCUAUACCCAUGGACUCACUUUUCCUGCCUCUUGUCUGCAAGUUCCUCCUCCUCCCCUGUCUCUUCUCCUCCUACUUCUCUUUUCUUCACUUUUUUUUUUUUUCAUCUUUCUCAAUGAUCCCUCUCCCUGAAAGGGAGAAAAGGCUUUCCAGAGCCCUCUGCUUAUAUAAUUUCUUCCUCCAUUAAUCUGUUGUCAAUUAGUUAAUAAUUAAUUACUAAGUGACCUACUAAUACUGGUUUGUUAGUACUCCUCUGAUGGCCUUUAUCAUAUUCUGCCUUGUUGUCAUCAUUACUUGGGGACUUGUCUUAGGGCAUCUGUUCAAUUCUCGGCUGGAUGAGAACAGUUUCUGGGUUGGUCUCACCCAGCCUGAACUUCUCGUGUGGUAUCAGAGGCUGGGCCAGAGCAAGACACUGAUUUAGCUCAAAGGUGCUGACAGCAGCCCAAUUCCCUCACCAGCAAAUGUCAAGAGGAAAUAUCUGCCAUGGAGAGGCCCCAAGAG